GAAGUGUGGACGCCAGUCUGCAUGGAGCCGACCUUGAAAUACCACCCUUUAAUGUUUGAUGUUCUAACGUUGACCCGUAAUCCGGGUUGCGGACAGUGUCUGGUGGGUAGUUUGACUGGGGCGGUCUCCUCCUAAAGAGUAACGGAGGAGCACGAAGGUUGGCUAAUCCUGGUCGGACAUCAGGAGGUUAGUGCAAUGGCAUAAGCCAGCUUGACUGCGAGCGUGACGGCGCGAGCAGGUGCGAAAGCAGGUCAUAGUGAUCCGGUGGUUCUGAAUGGAAGGGCCAUCGCUCAACGGAUAAAAGGUACUCCGGGGAUAACAGGCUGAUACCGCCCAAGAGUUCAUAUCGACGGCGGUGUUUGGCACCUCGAUGUCGGCUCAUCACAUCCUGGGGCUGAAGUAGGUCCCAAGGGUAUGGCUGUUCGCCAUUUAAAGUGGUACGCGAGCUGGGUUUAGAACGUCGUGAGACAGUUCGGUCCCUAUCUGCCGUGGGCGCUGGAGAACUGAGGGGGGCUGCUCCUAGUACGAGAGGACCGGAGUGGACGCAUCACUGGUGUUCGGGUUGUCAUGCCAAUGGCACUGCCCGGUAGCUAAAUGCGGAAGAGAUAAGUGCUGAAA
rnacentral:rRNA from 1 species